rnacentral:SRP_RNA from 1 species
CUUUGAGUCUUGCGCAAUGGAGGCUCAUGAACCCCGCCAGGUCCGGAAGGAAGCAACGGUAAGUGAUAACCUCUAUGUGCCGCAAGGGUGCUUGGAGGCC